UCCAGGGUUAAGUGAAUAGCCAAUGAAAUGGCAUCCGCUGUGCACCUGUAGGUAAAUUGGAGCAGAUUCAAGUCGCUUCUUAGGCAGGAGUUGAUGCGUUUCAACCUCUCAAACACCUCGUGACUGUGGAUAUUAGGAGCCAUGCUUUACGGCACCAAAGCAAGAGGGCUCAAGUUCCAAAGCUGCACAAUGUUAGACUGGAUGCCACUUACACAGACAAACGCAGCACCUGUGGGCUCCACUCCUGCGCGACUCAGAAGACCUACAUGAAGAGAUCAACGGAUGGCCCUGGAAAUCCAAGUCAGGAUAUAAAGGAAAGGUUGGGAAGGUGUCUUGAAGUCGAAAUUUCAAAUGGAAGAGCACAGCAGUAAUUUAUAUGACUUUACCUCAGGAAUAAAUUGCAUCUAACUCUGUUGGACCCAGUCAAACUUCAGAUAGGUCUACAGUGGAAGUGGUCUCAUUGACUCUUCACGCAGCCUUGGAUCACCUGGACAAUAUAAAUACCUAUGUCAGGAUACAGUUUAUUGACUACAGCUCAGUGUUUAACACAAUCAUUCAUACAGUUCUGAUCGAAAAACUCCAGAACCUGGGCUUCUCUACCUCCCUCUGCAACUGGAUCCUCAACUUCCUAACCAGAAGACCACAAUCUGUACGGAUCGGAAAUCACAUCUCUACCUCAUUGACAAUCAACACUGGCACACCUUAGGGAAGUAUGCUUAGCCUUCUGCGCUUAUCUCCCUCUACACUCAUCACUAUGUGGUUAGGCACAGCUCAAAUGCCAUCUAAAUUUGCUGAUGAUACAACUAUUGUUGGCAGAAUUUCAAAUGGUGGUGAGACGGUGUACAGGAGUGAGAUAUAUUAGCACAUUGAGUGGGGUCACAGCAACAACCUGACACUCAACAUCAAUAAAACCAAAGAACUGAUUGCAGACUUCAGAAAGAGUAAGACGAGGGUACACACACCAGUCCUCAUAGAGGGAUCAGAAGUGGAAAGGGUGAGCAGUUUCAAGUUUCUGGGUGCCAGUAUCUCUGAGGAUCUAUCCUGGACCCAACAUAUUGACGCAGCUACAAAGAAGGCAUG